UCUGCACUCUGCUUCCAGUUGAAAAAGACACUUUGAGAGGAGGAGUGAAGACAGACUUCUCCAUCAGGGAGAGACGCUGCAAUUCCUCAUUACCUCAAAACAAGAGUCCUCUCUGCCAAGAACUAAAUUAAUCGGCAAUAACAAACUGUGACCAUUGGCAAAAGGCUAUGGAAAGAGAACUUUAGCGUAGAUGACCAGGAUGAGGAAUUGGAAGCACAGAGUGUUUGGUCCAAGACCAUCCAGUUGAGAAGUGGGGGAGUCACAUGCAACCUAGUUGGAAUAUCUACAGCAUCCAGCCCUCAGUCACUCACUCUUUCCUAACAUUCAAGAGAUGGGGCAGGAUAUGUGCAGUCAAGGCAGGCUGGCCUCUGCCUCUGCCUGCUUUGGAGAUGAACAGGCAUGUGCCCACUGCUGAGCUAAUCUCUUGGAUCCCACUCUCAACAGGC
ensembl:lncRNA